rnacentral:rRNA from 1 species
AAGAGAUCGGGAUAACACCUGGAAACAGAUGCUAAUACCGGAUAACAACAGAUGAUGCCUAUCAAUUGUUUAAAAGAUGGUUCUGCUAUCACUCUUGGAUGGACCUGCGGUGCAUUAGCUAGUUGGUAGGGUAACGGCCUACCAAGGCGAUGAUGCAUAGCCGAGUUGAGAGACUGAUCGGCCACAUUGGGACUGAGACACGGCCCAAACUCCUACGGGAGGCAGCAGCU